rnacentral:rRNA from 1 species
GAUGAACGCUAGCUACAGGCUUAACACAUGCAAGUCGAGGGGCAGCAUGGUCUUAGCUUGCUAAGGCUGAUGGCGACCGGCGCACGGGUGAGUAACACGUAUCCAACCUGCCGUCUACUCUUGGCCAGCCUUCUGAAAGGAAGAUUAAUCCAGGAUGGGAUCAUGAGUUCACAUGUCCGCAUGAUUAAAGGUAUUUUCCGGUAGACGAUGGGGAUGCGUUCCAUUAGAUAGUAGGCGGGGUAACGGCCCACCAAGGCAUCGAUGGAUAGGGGUUCUGAGAGGAAGGUCCCCCACAUUGGAACUGAGACACGGUCCAA